rnacentral:rRNA from 1 species
GACGAACGCUGGCGGCGUGCUUAACACAUGCAAGUCGAACGGUAAGGCCCUUCGGGGUACACGAGUGGCGAACGGGUGAGUAACACGUGGGUGAUCUGCCCUGCACUUCGGGAUAAGCCUGGGAAACUGGGUCUAAUACCGGAUAGGACUCCUGGCUUCAUGGUUGGGGGUGGAAAGCUUUUGCGGGGUGGGAUGGGCCCGCGGCCUAUCAGCUUGUUGGUGGGGUAAUGGCCUACCAAGGCGACGACGGGUAGCCGGCCUGGGAGGGGGACCGGUACCAGUGGGACUGAGAUACGGCCCAGACGCCUACGGGGGGCAGCAGUGGGGAAGAUUGCACAAUGGGCGCGAGCCUGAUGCAGCGACGCCGCGUGGGGGAUGACGGCCUUCGGGUUGUAAACCUCUUUCAGCUAUGACGAAGCGCAGGUGACGGUAGUAGCAGAAGAAGGACCGGCCAACUACGUGCCAGCAGCCGCCGUAA